UAUCACAUGUCACGUGAUCGGUGUAUAAACUUCCGGGUUGGUUAUGCAGCGAAGUGACAGUGAUCUACGGCGGUCGACAGGAUGACACGACUGUCCCAAUACUCCGAGGCUUUCUGGGGCACGCACUUCACCAGUACUGCUGGGUUUGAGGCACUAGCACUGCGGAUGAAAGAUGGCCGCCAUAUGUGUAAAGAAUUUGAAGAAUACCUGAAACAAAGGUACGAGGCAGAGAACAGGUACUCGAAAGACUUGCAUAAACUGGAGAGAAACAUGAAGCUGAAAGAUGACAUAGGAGUUCUGGAGAAGUCCUGGAACAAGCUGAAGGAGGAGAUGGAGAAGAUGGUGCAGAUCCACCAGGAUGCAGCUGCCAACUUUCUGAAGCAGAUGGACGACGUCAAGAAGUUCAACGAGGCCCAGACUACAAAAAAGAAAGCUAUGGAAGAAACUGUGAAAAAGUAUCAGAGCAACAAGAACAGCUUGUAUUCACGAUGUAUGAAUAAUCAUAAAAAUUACAAAGACAAGUGUCGAGAGAAGGACAGUGCGUCAGACAACUACAACCUUCAGCGGUCCACUGUCACAACUCAAACCAAGGACCUGGAGAAGGCAAACAAGGCAAAGGCAAGGGCAGAAGAUGAGGCUGUUAAAGCAGAAACAGCAUACAAGAGUUCCUUGGAUGCCCUGGAAAGUGCACGGGAUCUUUGGGAAAAGGAGAUGCAAGCAGCUUGUGAUGUGUUUCAGAAUUUGGAUCAUGAAAGAAUCAAAUUCCUGCGAGAAAAUCUUUGGGUUUCUCUCAACGUUGAUUCCCAGGUUGCCGUGGAGAUUGAUGACUGUUGUGAGUCAGUCCGCCGAGUGUUGGAGAAUUGUUCAAUGGAGAAUGACAUAUGUACAUUUAUUGAGAAAUACCAGACAGGCACUGAAAGGCCAGCAUGUAUCGUGUUUGAGGACUACUACGCUAAUACAGAUACUAUGGGACGUAGAGGCCAAAGGUCAGGGGGGUCAGAGGUCACAGCCACCGAGAAGCAAUGGUAUCACAAUGUCAGAUAACACAUAUGCAACAGUGGAUGAAGCUGGUGAAAAUAUGAUGACCAAUAGCAGCACAUUUUACUAUAACCAGCGAAUGUGAUGCCUUGUGAGCUGACAGUGGAGGUUGGACAGAAAGUCCACUUUGUGCGACAGAUGACAAAUGGAGUACAAGUUCGUCUUGCGGAAUCUAACAAAUUUGGUAUAAUUCCCAACAGCUGUGUCAAACUAUGACCAUGGA
rnacentral:misc_RNA from 1 species